UAUGGCGACCGGCGCACGGGUGAGUAACACGUAUCCAACCUGCCGAUGACUCGGGGAUAGCCUUUCGAAAGAAAGAUUAAUACCCGAUGGUAUAAUCAGACCGCAUGGUUUGAUUAUUAAAGAAUUUCGGUUAUCGAUGGGGAUGCGUUCCAUUAGGCAGUUGGUGAGGUAACGGCUCACCAAACCUUCGAUGGAUAGGGGUUCUGAGAGGAAGGUCCCCCACAUUGGAACUGAGACACGGUCCAA
rnacentral:rRNA from 1 species